GAGUUUGAUCCUGGCUCAGGACGAACGCUGGCGGCGUGCUUAACACAUGCAAGUCGAACGGAGUACCCUCGAAAGAGAUUUCGGUCAAUGGAGAGGACUACUUAGUGGCGGACGGGUGAGUAACGCGUGAGGAACCUGCCUUUCAGUGGGGGACAACAGUUGGAAACGACUGCUAAUACCGCAUAACGUACUGGUAUCGCAUGGUACUGGUACCAAAGAUUUAUCGCUGAGAGAUGGCCUCGCGUCUGAUUAGCUAGUUGGUAGGGUAACGGCCUACCAAGGCGACGAUCAGUAGCCGGACUGAGAGGUUGGCCGGCCACAUUGGGACUGAGAUACGGCCCAGACUCCUACGGGAGGCAGCAGUGGGGAAUAUUGGGCAAUGGGCGCAAGCCUGACCCAGCAACGCCGCGUGAAGGAAGAAGGCUUUCGGGUUGUAAACUUCUUUUGACGGGGAAGAGCAGAAGACGGUACCUGUCGAAUAAGCCACGGCUAACUACGUGCCAGCAGCCGCGGUAAUACGUAGGUGGCAAGCGUUGUCCGGAUUUACUANGUGUAAAGGGCGUGUAGCCGGGCUGACAAGUCAGGUGUGAAAUCCGGGGGCUCAACCCCCGAACUGCAUUUGAAACUGUUGGUCUUGAGUAUCGGAGAGGCAGGCGGAAUUCCCAGUGUACCGGUGAAAUGCGU
rnacentral:rRNA from 1 species